GGGUCGAAUUGGAGCUGCAGCUGCUGGCCUAGACCAUAGCCACAGCCAUGCAGGAUUUGAGCCAUGUCUGUGAUCUACAUCACAGCUCACGGCAAUGCUGGCUCCUUUAACCCAAUGAGCGAGGCCAGGGAGCGAACCUGUGUCCUCACGGAUGCCAGUCAGAUUUGUGUCUACCGAGCCACAAUGGGAGCGCCCGAGUUUUUUCAUUAGGGAAAUUAUUUUGCAAAUAGUUAGCAGCCAAGGUGCCACUCUGCCUUUGUACAAGCUUAUGGCAAAGUUGGGAGGGAUUUUGAUGGAUUUGUCCAUAUCUUGACAUCGUGCUUCUUCAGUGCUGGUCAGUUGUAUCACUCAACCACCAACCUAUUACGUUAGGUAACUAGGAAGAGUUUCAAAACAUUCAGAAAGGUAAAAAAUAGUUACAAUAAAACCAUUGUCUGUCUUUAAUAUUUAAUAACUUAUCACUAUUAGCCAUGUGUCUUCCACUUGUUCAUUUUUUUUGCCAGUUUUAAAGAAAAUUAGACUUGAUCUCACCUCGUAUUUAUUAUACCUAUUCAAAUGAACAAUUCUUCUCAAUAUCACCUAACACCUACUCCAUAUUCAAACUUCUGGAACUAGAGAGCAUUUAGAAAUUAAACCAGGAUUUAAUCGAGGAGCUGGCAUUGUAAUGUCUCUCAAUUUAGACCAGUCUCCCGAUCUUUUAUAUUUUUUAAUGGCAUUGCCCUUUUUGAAGAAAUCAGGCUUAGUGUAUGCUGCCUGUUCUUGAUUUGUCUUACUGUUUCUCCAUGGUGUCGUUUAGCUAGUAUUGACUUUGCUUCUGAGACAAUUAUUAUUUAUGCUGACCCUUCUUAGUCCAGAGGCUCCUGAAUUUCCUCAGUUCACAAUGCCCUUGAUGUCUCAUUUUUUUUCCAGUGUUCUUAGGUCUUAACCCUGAACUAAUUGUUCAUUAAAUAGGUCCAAAAAAUUGUUUCCUAAUAACUUCAUAACUGAUUUAACAUUUGAAAUUAUUUCUAUUUCACUCAAAAAUAACCAAAUUACUAAUAGAAUGGUGUACCUGCGGGUUCUAGCCAGCUUCUCCAACCUUAGAAUCAGAUGGAUGCCACCAUCCUUAGUUAGGUCCUGCCCCACAGUGAUUUUUGUGUGCUAUUUCCUCUUCAGCACAGCAACCACUGAAAACCCAGUAUAGAAAGAUAUGACUCCCUCAGAAGGAAUGUAGCAUGAUCUAGUGUUGAAACCUUGAACUACCUUAGCUAAUUCAAUGCCAACUGCCCCCAUGUUUCCCUUGAAAACUGGGAUGUCCUCUGGCACUCCUGUCAGUUUACUGUGGUGCUUGGGUGCCUUGGUGGGCAGUUUGGGAACCGUAGUAUGAAUCCAGCAUCUGACCACCUCAGCUGCAAGGAUUACAAAUGGCCUGAAGACAAAAUGAACAAGCACAGGUUUGUCUCAACUAGAUGGACAGAGAACACCUCCUUACCUAGAGCAGGUCUUCCUAACCUCACCAUGCUUCAGAAACAUCUGGGGACCCUAUCACAGCAAACACUCCUGGGCACCGCCCCCACCCCCACCCCCACCCCAGGGGACUUGAUCCGGGUUUCAGGUGCCUGUUUAAGAAAGGAGCAUCCUUGGUGGUUUAAGUAACCCAAAGCCCACUGUGUUCCGACAAGUCCUCUGAGGUCAUCUCUGACCCAGAGUUCACUGUCAAGAGAAGAAAAUGAAAGACGGUGGGAUAAAGGUUCAAUGAAUAAGGCCUGGGUCUGGAUCUAGCCAAUAGAGUGAGUUCAGUGGCUUUGUGAAUACCCCUUGCUAGAAAACCUGUUCUCUUGGAUAGGCGCAUCUCACGUGACAGUCCCAGAGUGCCAGGCAGUUCGGGACCCAGAGAGGAGCAAGGUCAGCCCUGCCUGUGUGUCUGCAGCUACUGAGAGGGAAGGGACAUGACGGUAACUCCAAGUGUCAGGGUGGAUUUAAACCCCGUCGUUGCAGUUUCCUCCCCUCCCCCUCCCUGGACCAAAUAAGGACAUUUCCCCCUCCCCCACAAUGUCCAUAGGCAGGGGGAGGUGAGGGUGCUUUUUCCAGGAAAAUCUCGUAUUUCCUUGGUGAAUUAUCUACACUUCUUGACUGAAGUGUUGGGAGCUGGCCUCUGCCAGGAGGCCCAGCUGCAACCCCUGCUCUUGACUUCAGUGCUUUUCCAGUUCCCUUCUCAGAAACUGCAGUUGUGAAUCUGAGAAGCAGCCGUCGGAAUUCUGGUUGAUCAAGGUUAAAUCAUUCUCCUCCAAAGCUUCCACCCACUCAAAUGUUUGGGGCACCUCUUGUACACCGGGCCCUGGGUGGGUUCUUCUGGGUCAUUUCCUUUGACUUCCCACAGCCAGCUCCCAGCCUGUGGGGGUUGGGAAGGUGCGGAGCCCAGACCCAGAGGCCGGGUGCCCCUUGGGGAGAAGUCAGACAGUAUCCCCAGGGCCUCAGGUAGGAGGAGAACCCCUGUCUCCCUCGAGACACCCAAGCAGAGGCUGGACUGCCUCCCAUGGGAUGUGGGACCUGUGAUUAGACUAGCGGAACCCUGAAGCCUCUUGCACCUCUGGGAGGCCAUGGGGUUCAUGUUCUGGAAGAUGCUUCAAGAACAGCAGGAACGCCAAUCUUCAUUUUCAUCCUGAAUAAAAGCAGGAAAUGAGCUUAAAGGGUGAUUUGAGAAAAAAAAUAGCCCUGAAGAUAUUUGUUCUCAGCAUUUGUACAAGCUAUUAAGUCUGGGCCACAGAGCAUUUUGAGGACACCAUCAAAAGAAACAAUUGCAUUGGCAUCAUAAAUAAAUAUGAAUCCCUGAGCUCUCCUCUGGAAACAGCUGCCCCCAAGAAUCCCAUCGCGGCCAGCUGGUCACCACCCCACACACAGAAAGGAUUCUUUCCAGCCCACAGAGCCCAGGUUGAGCCCCAUCACACAGAAAGUGGGGGAGGAGAGAAGCCGGGCAGGGCAUGAGGGAGGCGGGUGGGAGAGAAACGGAUUUGAACACGUCCCCAGAGCUUGUUUGGAUCUCCUUCACGGUUUGGGGGAAAUAAAAACACAUCCGACGGUGCCCUUUCAACUGUGCAAUGGUGCUGAGACUCAGUUGUGGAGGUUCAGGUUUUAUCAAGGCUACCUGAUUAACCCUUGCGCUCCAUGCAGGGUGGCUGGUGGGAUUAGCACCGUGGAGGAGCUAAGGCUUGGUGUCUUAAGCUGCAAUUUCUGGCUCCCUAAACAACCACCUGCAUCCUAGAGACCCGAAAGCCCUCACUUUUCCAAAGUGAUCGCCUUUGAGCUUUGCCAGGAUCCAGUGAUGGAACACUGGUGUUGAUGUGUGCAUGGAGCCGAUGUGAAAGGUAAGGCUCAGAGGCACAUGACAGCUCCGUGAAGAACUCGGGGGUAUUGAAGCUUAUUUUUUUCCCCCUCAAUCUGGUGCUUUGUCCACUGCCUGUCAUGUGAGCCCCAGGAUCUCUUAACCAUCUGAACCUGGACAUAGAGUCACCAACUUCGUUCAGUUUCACGAUCCCCAGAGAAACCCUCCAGUAACUUUGGAACACUGGCUGAAUUGUCAUUCUGUUUUCUUCCCGAGCCUUUUUUGGCUUGGUUGUCAGCACUUUUUAAAAGCCCAUUGGGUUGUUUGUGAAAAUGAGUGACAGUGCAUUUGUGAAAGCCUCAUGUGGGUGGCAGCAUUCUCUCUCUUCUGCAUACAGGAAGCAACGAUGCCCCUGAUCACACCUGUCCCGUCUGGAUGUACCCAUCGGCCCCUCAGAGCCAUUGCUGUUCAUGGUGUUCUCGGCUCAGACUGGAGAGAGGGGAGGGUGAGGGAGCCAGGGCUUUGGUCUCACCAUGCUGUUGACACAGAGCCGAGCAAGGGCGCUGUUGGUGAAGUUCAUAUUUCCAUUCUGUUGUUGUUGUUGGGAGGUGGGGGAGGGCCAACAUACAUUGCAACUGAGAGAUGAAGCCUUCUAUGGUUUCACUUGCAGCAAGUUCAAAGGCUGUGUUAAGGAAAAUUGCAGGUGCUGGUUCUGUGGUAUUUGGAGUUUAGAUGAAAAAGCAAAGCAAACAAACUUCUUGGCAGCUCAUGUCAAAGAGGGGCUGGCUUGUGGAUCACCCUUUCCAACAGGAACCCUCCUUCUGUGGGUCCCAGAGGAAGCAAGGGCAGUGGAGGGGGCAGAAGGAGCAGAAAGAACAAAUAUAUGGAGACCCCCCUCACUCACCCAGUUUUUUUUAAAUGGAAACAGGUAGGAGAAUAGAUCAGGCAUCAUGUUGGAAGAUUUUACGAGAUGCCACAGAAGGAAAGAAUUUUCUGAUGUUCCAGUGUUGCUUAAGUUCAAGCUGUAGAAACCACAGGGUUUCUUCCGAGGUGGAACCAGUUCACUGGGCUAUGUUUUCCUUUAAUGUAGAAAGGACGGGUUCCAAGAGGCAAAAUGUAAAGUAGCAGAGAGAUCUAGAGUGGGAAGGGGCCAGCUGAUCUCGUUAUUCCUUCAUGUCAGAUGCUGAGAGGCAGAGAUCAUCUGACCUCCCCCUGGGUUUCUGCCCAGCCCCCCUCCCCUACUACGCCGCCCCCCCAACUAUGCCACCCCCCCGUCACCACUCUCCCCCGUCAGCUUCCCUUAGUAGAGGCUGGCAGAGCACCUGGGGCUUUGAUGCCCGGUCCUGUCUCCUUUCCAUCUCACCUCUGGGUCUUUAGAGAUUUCACUUUCAUGCACACUGUUUAAGGCUUCCCCUUAAACAGAUAUGCCUCAAGUAUUUUCCU
rnacentral:lncRNA from 1 species